rnacentral:rRNA from 1 species
UGCGUAGGCGUUUUGAUGAGUCGUACUUUAAAGCCUUGGGCUUACCCCAAGUUUUGGGUACGAUACUAUCAAGAUUGAGGAUUGAUAGGGGUGCUAGAACAGCUAGUGUAGCAGUGAAAUGCGUUGAUAUUGGCUGGAAUACCGAUGGCGAAGGCAGGCACCUGGGUUUUUCCUGACGCUGAGGCACGAAAGCUAGGGUAGCGAAACAGAUUAGAGACCUGUGUAGUCCUAGCCGUAAACAAUGUCCGCUAGCUCUUUGCGCAAGCAAGGGGUGUAAGCUAACGCGUUAAGCGGACCGCCUGGGGAGUACGGUCGCAAGACUAAA